rnacentral:misc_RNA from 1 species
CGAAUGGACAGUGUUUGAAUGGAUUUGAACUUGCGUGUGAAUGGCUGCACGAUGACAAAUCUGCUCUGAAAUGGGUGUUCAAAACAGAUGAGGAUGGAAGCAAUGUUGUUGAAUUAAAAGAAUGCGAGUAUCCGAACUGCGGUGUGGGUGUGAUUACAACCACGUGGCUUAAGCCAAGAGAGCAGGAAGAGUGGAUGUCAUUCAAUUACAAGAUCUAUGGUACAUCGGAAGUCUAUUUAAGAAUCUAUCUGAGAACAGCGGACGGUGGGGGUGGACAGCAUCAGAUAUUUUCUCAGACUGGGAACUAUGCUCAUGAAUUUCCGAAAUCCUGGACUGAGAGAGAAGUUCUUUUGCCUGCUGUUUCUUCUAAACACAGGAUACUUAUAAAAGCACACAUUCCAUUUAAAGAAGCAUAUGUAGCAGUUAAAGAUAUAGUUUUAAAAGGAAAUACUCUUGCUACAAGCACACCAGUGGCAGCCGGCAUUGAGAGAGAAGACGAACAGCUUUCUCUAUCAGGCAACUAUUGGAACGGUGCGUUAGGUUGUACUCAAGUGUUUGAUUUCUUAAAUAUUACUUUCCUUCCUUUGCCAUUGCAGCAUACACUGAAAUAUUUAUGCAUGACUCUAGUAGUUCUGUUGAUUACGAAGAUGAGAAUGGAUUAGGCGACUCGCCCCCAAAAUCUAUAGAAGAAGAAAGGUUUCAAGCUUUAGAAGUUGAUUUUAUAGGAAGUGAAGAUUUAACUAAGGGUUAUACUAGAGUGGUGGAGCCAAAUCUUUGCAAAUACAGCUAAUUCUAAACGAAAUGUGUUGGAGGCCAAUUCAACCGAAUUUAAAAGGCACCAGUGAAGAUUCACAUCUGAAAAGAAUUAUUUAUUCCUUAAGUUAAAUUAUUGCUGGCGUAUACAAGAAAUUACACGAAAUAAAAUGUUAUAGUUUUA